rnacentral:rRNA from 1 species
GAUCCUGGCUCAGGAUGAACGCUAGCGACAGGCCUAACACAUGCAAGUCGAGGGGCAGCAUGAACUUAGCUUGCUAAGUUUGAUGGCGACCGGCGCACGGGUGAGUAACACGUAUCCAACCUGCCGAUGACUCGGGGAUAGCCUUUCGAAAGAAAGAUUAAUACCCGAUGGCAUAGUUCUUCCGCAUGGUGGAACUAUUAAAGAAUUUCGGUCAUCGAUGGGGAUGCGUUCCAUUAGGUUG